UACGGGGGGGGCAAGCGUUGUUCGGAAUUACUGGGCGUAAAGGGCUCGUAGGUGGCCAACUAAGUCGGACGUGAAAUCCCUCGGCUUAACCGGGGAACUGCGUCCGAUACUGGUUGGCUUGAGUUUGGGAGAGGGAUGCGGAAUUCCAGGUGUAGCGGUGAAAUGCGUAGAUAUCAGGAGGAACACCGGUGGCGAAGGUGGGUCUCUGGGCCGAUACUGACGCUGAGGAGCGAAAGCGUGGGGAGCAAACAGG
rnacentral:rRNA from 1 species